ACGACCUUACUUGAACAGGAUCUGUUCUAUAGGCUCGUACCUCUGUUUCCUUAAGUUCUAAAGAGACAGGUGACUAUGUCUGGUUGAUGAAUCAGGACCUUGUGAUCAGAGCGUGAUUAAGUGCUACUGCUGUUCUGUUCGAACUUCAGUGCAGUAGAGGAUCGUUCCCUGGCGUCCUAGUAGGGCUUGGGGAUGGUCACAAGGUUGUCUGACAGACA